rnacentral:lncRNA from 1 species
GAAGGUAAAACUUGCAUUUAUUUAUAUAGUAUCAUAUACAGAAAAAACCCCAAAUAAACAACAAAUACAACAUUAGAAUAAUGUUUGAUUACACAACAGAAUCUCUUCUCAGGUUAAUAACAAGUGUAACUUGAUUGUAUUUAAUUUACUUAGCAAACUGAUGUUUCUUAGGAAAAAAAAAAAAAGAUGUUUCAUUUACACAGAACUACAUCUGGAUAAAAAAGCAACUGCUGCCCUCAUCCUGGGUUUAGUUAUCAACGUGAGGAAAGAGACUUUCCAGAGAAGAGGUAAGAACCUGGUAACAAUGUUAUUGGACGUUUUGGCAAUGUUUUUUCUUCCUAGCCUCAAGUACGGACUCCGUGUAAGAUACAACUUCCAAUACUAUCAAAUCAAUAACUGAUUUCCUUCAAAAUAGCUGACAAGUGGGAGAUGUGUCACCUGUUCAGGCUGGUUCAACAGCAGAGCGGAUCAUGGGGUAGCAUCACUUCCUUGGUGACAGUUCAGCAGGAGAGGAAAAGCUGAUGCAAAUGCAUUGUUGCAUCAUUGCUUGAGUAGUGACCCUCGGGUGUAAUAGUUACAUGUACUGAUCACAACCAGUUCUCAACACUGAUUGAUUACAGCUACAGAAGCAAUGCCUUUAAGGAAGAAUUUUUGGUGUUUGGUUUCCCCCCUGCAAACAUCAAAAUAAUGUUCAUAAUUGUAAACAAUAAAAAUUAGUUUACUGUGUAUUUUACAUAGUUCUUAUUUUACUAAUAGCCUCCUGGGCAGGCCUGAUUCUUUUUUACAUUGAUGCAAUUACAUAUUUCCACAUAAGUGAACCGUGACACAAGGGAAGAGAAUGAAGCCCUAGAAAUGAAGUGACUUGUCAAAGUCAUGUGCCUAAACCUGCCACUAUUACUUCUACUACUUCCAUACCUUGGUCACCGCUCUGCUAAGGUAAGGUGUAGCAGCAAGGGACAACAGGUAUUUGUUUCUUAAGGGCUCAAUGAUUAUUCCAACUUUCUGAUGACCUCUACCUCCAGCUCAGCCCUCAAUGAUUUCCUGGCUGUCAGGCAACUACAGUUUUAAAGACCAGUGGUUACUCGCUGUCUAG